rnacentral:tRNA from 1 species
CCUUCGAUAGCUCAGUUGGUAGAGCGGUGGACUGUAGCGAGUAAAGUGAGUGCUUGCGCUCUGAUAGUAAUCCAUAGGUCACUGGUUCAAAUCCGGUUCGAAGGA